rnacentral:rRNA from 1 species
UACGAGAGGCCCAAACGUUAUUCGGAAUUACUGGGCUUAAAGAGUUCGUAGGCGGCAUUGCAAGUAGGGUGUGAAAGCCCUCGGCUCAACCGAGGAAUUGCGCUCUAAACUGCAGUGCUUGAGGAACCUAGAGGUGAGCAGAACAGAUGGUGGAGCGGUGAAAUGCGUUGAUAUCGUUUGGAACGCCAAUGGUGAAAACAGCUUGCUGGGAGUGUGCUGACGCUGAGACACGAAAGCCAGGGGAGCAAACGGG